CCAGCUAGACGCUCCGGCUGACUCGGAAACACACCCCAGACUGCUCCGGGAGCCAAUGAGAGGAAAGAGUCUCCCGUAUGAGCUAAAGAACGCCAGUCGAUGCCGAGGAAGCGCUAGGCUUGGAGAUGUCACGCCUCGCAACCGGGAAAAUGCGCGCGCAACACGCGAAUCCGCGGAAGACCCUCGCGAAUGGACUGCCGACUAACGCGCUUGCUUGCGUAAUUUUCGCGGGACGCCGUCUCUCGUCGCUGUACUAUACUGGUGACUGGUGACAACCGACCUCAACUCUGUGCUGCUAUUUCAAAUGUCAACUAUCAACUCAACUAUCAGUAAAAAUUAUGUUUUGGUUUUUAUUAUUCUAUUCAAUGGUUUUAAUUUUCCUGUCGCGAGUUUAGUUUGCAAGUAAAUUGACAGCAAGCAGAGUCACAGGCAAGUUUUUAUUUUAAAUUGCAUUCCUUGGAGAUGAUUGUACACACGGAUUAUUAUUUCACAGAAGUAUCGUGCAUCGACACUCGCACUCGCCGGCCGUCGAGGAGAUUACACUCAUUAAGAUACCUGAUAAUAAAUAAAAAUAAAAAGUUUUCAGAAGAACAAAGAUUGGAGACAGAGUAGAAAAUAACAAAGAUCCAUAUUUAAGAACAACACUUUACUUUGUCUACUCAAGUAAUAGCGAUAUCCACUUUAUUGAUAACGACUAAAAAAAUAUUUAUGUGUUUUAUAUUUACACACUCACCGAAAAAUUUCUGUCUAUAUAAAUAAUUAAGUAUACAUUUUCAGAUUUUAAUAAAUAUU